GAUGAUAAUUAAAAAUUAUAUUACCUACCAAAAUAUAAGCUGUCGAUUUAUUAGAAUAAGGGUUAAUAAGUAAUUAGGCUUGUGAAUAAAAAAGGAAGAUGCUAGAGAUUUAAUGAAAUCCCUGAAUUACCGCGUUGACAUUCCGUGGAAGAAUUGCUUGGGUGAAUAUUGUGUGUUUUCACAGCCCAUUUACCCUUUCAUCUUCUUCUUUUUUCGUCCGCCACUAUUGAGGAAGAAGAAGUUGUUCAGGCUAUCAUCUAAAUCGGUCCAAGCUUCGGCGAUUCAUCCUCAGAGGAGCGCUAUUCAUCUAAAUCGGUCCACGCUUCGGCGAUUGAAAAAGCAAGGCCACCAAAUCGAGAAAUCAUCUUGGCAAAUAAGUUGAUAGAGGUCGAGCAAAAUGCUACAAAGUGGAGGAAUAGACAGAAGUUAUAUGGUGAAUAUAUGGCUAAAAAGCAAGACUUGAAGGUGCAGAGGUUGCAGCUGGAGAAGUUGUCAAGGUUAAUAAGGAUGGAGGUAUAGCAAAGGCUGCUGCUGGACACGUUGUCAAGGAUACAAUUAUCGAUGCCUCAAACAAACAAUUGCCUGAAGGUGGUUCGCCUACAUUUCAAAGAAAGAGAACGCAGAGUGUCACUCGUUCAGUCCUUAAAUAGAUUGUAUUUAAUUUAGCAUUGCUUACAUGUAAAUUGCUAUUAUUUUCUAGUUCACAUCUAGAUAUUGGAUGAACAAGUUUUGUUCAGAAAUUAUAAUAUUAAAACUAAAUACAUAGUAGUAUAUGACAAUGAUAU